CCCAAUCGGUGAGGAGGGCGACGAUUGGGUGAGAACCCUAGCAUCCACUCCCCAUCGUUGUUCCUCUCUUGCAGCCUGCCUCACUACUGCUGCUCUCGCCGCCGAGCUCGCCCGCUGCCGCUGCCGCCGCAUCAUCUUCUCCUCCUUGGGAACCCUAGAGCGUCUACUCUCCUGGCUGUUCGUAUCUUGGCUCGCCACAAAAAAUGGGCACGGGUGGGUAGGACGAGGCCAUGGCUAGGGUUUCAGGCUGGGCAUCGCCUUCGUCGCCGGCGCGGCUCCGGUGGACUCCGGUGGCUCCUCUCCGUCUCCUUUUCCGUCCCCACGCGCGGCUCCGCUUCCCGCCGGCCAUGGGGUGCAGCCUUACAGGGGCGCAUCGGGCUGGGCAUCCUCUAUUUCUGAGUGCAUGGGGCGGUUUGAGGCGCACUUGUGGAACAAGAACACCUGGACAGAACCGCAGAGGAAGAAGAUGGCUUGGUUGAUGCAAUCCGUGUAUCCCUCACAGAUCCACUUGGAACUCAUGCUCCAGACCAUCAAAUGAUAACCAUGCUCGGCAUCCACAUGAACAAUUUGUUUCAAUGACCACCCAGGUAAUUCAGAUGCUCCAUUUGGUUCUUGGAUAUUCUCCCUGCUGCUCAUUUCACAACUACGUCAAUCUGUUGUUUUCAAACAGUAAGGGAGAAAGCUACUGAUACAGUAUAUAUUGGACAUUGAAUUGGUGCUCCAUGGAGCCAGGGCACCAUGAUUUAUGCACAAAUCCAAACCAAAUUUGAUUAUAGUUUUUUUGGAAAUUUUACUUUGGGGUAUAAUACCUGAUUAUUAUAGAAUUCAAGUACUCUACAUCUAGGAUAUUGCUGUGUAUAUCUAUUUCUGCAUACCAUACUGCUUGUAUAUAAAAUCAACAUAUAUCUGCAGUCAAACAAUCAUUAGAAAAAGUAACUGCAAUUUGGCUUUAGUACAAAUAUUUCACAUAUAUGCGCCUUAGUUCUAUGUAAUGCUUUGUUGUUCUCUAAGGUAUCCUCCUAUCUUUGAUGGAAGUAGUAGCAUUUUUCUGGCAGUGCUGCUUGUUAAUCAAUGUAAAUCCUAGAGAAUCAUGUAAUUAAGGAUAGCCUUUGUUAUUGUAAUCGUAGAUUGAUCCUAAUUGGGAUCCUGUACAUCUGGAUGUAAUCUUGAUGAUGAAGUAUCAUCAAGUAUAUAUUCAUGGCAAGGCCCAAGGGGUAAAUCACGACAACCAAUCAUGUUUAACUCUGCUUUCUCUUGCCUUCGGCGGCCCCACGUGUGUCGUGCUCGUGGACGUGUGUGCGUCCUGAUCGUGGCCGGCUCUUGCUGCUAUUUUUGCUGUGUGUCGUGUUGCUACUGCUGUUGAUUGCCGGCUGUUGCGCAUGUCUUGCUUGUGGCCGGCCCUGGCUGCUCAUGUCCUACAAUUUCUGCUAUUGUUAGUUUUUGCUUGCUUCGGUUUUUCUUUUUGGAAAUUAUGUAUAGAAUAUGUCUUCUGUUGUAUACAACUUUAUUCUUUCAAAGAAAAUAACUAAACAGUAUGUGUUUCUACCCUCACCUUUUUUAUCUGUUCAAAUCCUAUUUUACUUGGAAUUAUUUGAAAUUCUGGGUCACUUUAUCUGUUGGUGCAGCAGCUUGCAUCUACAAGAAUAGGUUAUCAAAGAAACUGAAUCUGGAAGGUUAAGACAUUAGACAUCUAUUGACAGGUACCAACAUGUCAUCUUUGUCCGUGUGUACCCGACGUUGAUCUGAUUUGAAGUUGGUUUAUUCAAUUCUUUAGUAGUGAUGCAUACAGAUAUGAUGGAAAUACUCGAAAGUAGCACUUGUUUAUGUGAGGUUUAGUGUGUAACCGCUCAAGUUUUAAUAUAUGCAUCACUACUAUAGUCCUUUGUUAUCCCAGCCUCGGCCGAUCGGGUCGCAGUUGUUUCUUUCUGUAUGACUAUUGUUUCAACAUGUGUGUGUUGCAGCCAUGAUCAAGAGCCGGCUGCACAUGCAGCAGAGACAUAGAAUUAUAUUUACUGCCUGUAGUAGACGCAUCCAAGUUGGACUUGCGUAGAAGGAUUGAGACUAAUUUUAUGUUCCCAUGUAGUAGCGAUUCCUUGGUAUUUAGAUGAUGCCAAUAUUGUAUAUCAGUAAUCCAUCUGGUGUUUUCCCCUUACAUUUGUGCAUUCUACAAAGGUGUUCAAUUUUUCAGCUUCAAUAAUUCUAUUUCUUUUUGCUCAUUUUGUUCCUACGGGUCAUGAACUAUCCCCUUCUUGCCAUCAAUGCCCCGGGCAUUGUUAGUACAGAAGUACCCGCUCCUACCUUAUUCACAUUUAAGUUUCAUCUUUUCCAUUGAUUUAUUAGUAAACUAUAUUUUCUGCUGCUACUAUAUUUUCUAAUUGAACUAUAGCCUGUCAAAAUAAUUAUAGCAAGGUCGUGUGUACAUUUGUACCAACAAGCGAAUCCACUAUCAAAUGCAUUGUGCAAUAAUACAUAAAUAGGUAAAUAGAUGCUGAUUCGGACACUUAUGAAACUCAAAUCACAAAUUUAGGAUGAAUGGAGCAAACAUCAAUGACCACAUAUGGAUCAAUGACGAUGAAGGUGUUAAUUCCCGCCUCUAUUUGUUAUGACUGCUUAUGGAUCGAAAUCUGUUGGAUUAGUAUAUAGCACACGUUGUCAUUCCUUGCUUAAUAGACACGCACUGCUCUUUUUGUCAUGGCUGCUCUGCAGUAAAUGCACGAUGUUUCACUUUAGCCUGAGUCUUCUGUUCGGUAAUUGUUGUUUCUCCCUGAAACAAAACUGACACUGUAAUCCAAACAUCCAGCUGGGUACUGACAAGAAGUACCAAUUUAGGAGGACAGUGAGAGAGCUCAGAGGUAAUAACACAGUUGAUGAACAUAUUUGGUGCCUUCUGGUGCAAACAGUGGUAGUCUUUUAGUGAGCAUAUAUUCAUGUCAAACUUCUAUGCUACUUACUCUUUGAUCGCCUGUUCCCCUUCUUCCUUCGUUGUAGGGCUCAGCAUGAAGAACACAUUGGAGGACCAUUUACGAUGCCUUCUGGUGCAAAUAGUGGAAGUCUUUUAGUAAAUAUAUAUUCAUGUGAAACUGAAAUUUAGACAACAUUAGAUGAACAUUAUUGUACUGAAUCUUCACUGUAUUGUUACUCUGUAUGAACGUAUAUGCUAAACCAGGAUUACUACAA